CCGAAUGAUAUGCGCGCAUAAAAAGGUCGACGUUAUAUUCUAUACACGCUCACAGUCUGACCAUUGGAAUCUAUACACCCUUAAAUUUAUCCGUAAAGUAAACCAUGAAACUGUUGACUGCGACCAUUUCAACUAGUUUCAUUUCCGGAUAGCCCUUUAAGCUCCCGUUUUUGUAUAAUAGCUAUUUUAAGGAUUAUAACUUGGACUUCCAAUAUGUCGACAUGGAUAUACAGCCUCAAGUCAACUUUGUAAUUUCUCCGUCACCAUGAUGUGUCGCUGUGGUACGAAAGGAUUGGGAUCAAGUUAUGCAGAUUGUUGAGAGCAAUAUGAUGAGGGAAGGCAGGAAAGAGUCUUAUUGUCAGUAUGUACUCAUGGAAAAAUGGUGUUCGAGAGGUGGCGAAUAAGGAUUUGUAUGCAGCAUUGAAGAACGGUAAUAUGCAAAGAAUACAAAGAAAGGUUCUCUUAACAUAGAAAGUAAAGAAAUAAUGAAGUUCACACUACAGUUAACAAUCUGGAUGUGUUUCCUUUGUUAUUUGAACAUGAUUUAUUUUAACUUACAUAACAAGUAUGCACUACAAUAAUGAAUAUCUAUAUUAAUAGUAAUGAUAUUCCAUUAAACAUGGAUAUGGAAAAAAUAUUCUUUGACAGUGCAAGAUAAGAUAAAUCCAGACAUAGUCAGAGUCUUCAGUUAACUUGGAUGUGUUCCAUUUGUUUCAUCCACAUACUUGAAAUUUGUCUUGUAACUACCUGUAUUUUUAUGAGGUAAAGUGGUGAGUAAUCAACCUUUAUCAUAACAUUUUCUUAUUUGGGGAUAGUAUGUAUUUAUGUUGACACUAUGUGUACCUUCAUUCUCUUCAUUUUUCUGUACGAAACAAGACCGAAUGUGUCAUUUUAGUUUUACCAUUUUAAACUGUAUUUAUUAUACUCUUCAUUGAAUACCCAUUCGUAUAUUCUCAAACAUUUUAAUAAAUUUAAAUGUGUUGUUAUUUUGAUUAUAUUGUGUUGGUGUCAUAGGGUACAUGUAUAAGUCCAUUCCCAGCCUUCAAGAUAAAACAGAUAUAUUUUUUGUUGUAAAAUGUGUUCUUUAUGCAUAUACAUAUAGAGUGGCUACAGAGAACUCAACAUUUUUCUUACAAAAUAUCUAAGGGUUUCCCUGCAUGUGAUUGCUACAUUUAGUGUACCUCAUGUUAUAUAAUACAUUGUAUAUGAUCAAUAAAACAGAUUAAGAACCAAAGCUGUUGCUAAAUACUUUUUAAAAGCUGUAUAUGUACAAGACAAUACUGAGACUGUAUAGACACCAAUGUUUGUCCUAGCUUGAAGAUGUAUAGAUUCCAAUGAUUGCCUUAAGUUGAGGCUGUAUAGAUUCCAAUGUUUGUCUUAAGCUGAGGCUGUAU